AUGUCGGCAUUGCAGAGGCCGAGUACGGCGACUACGGCGUCGGCGUGCAUCCCUGAUAUGGCUCGGGGCACGCACGUGUUCACGGUCGCUGGCUAUAGGCUGCACAAGGGCCUCGGCAUCGGCAACUUCAUCCGAUCUGCCACCUUCGCCGUCGGCGGCUACGACUGGUGCAUCCGCUACUACCCCGACGGAUUCAGUUCUGAAACCAACGACUAUGUAUCAGUCUUCGUUGAGCUUCAGAGCAAGAAAUCCACGGUGAGGGCGCUGUACGACCUGAGGCUGACCGACCGGGCCACCGGGUCGUCGUCAUUAGUUUUCUCCAGGCCGUCGUCCUUCCCGGCGUUCGACUCAUGGAGGAUCGACCAUCUCAGGGGGGCUUCCAAGUUCAUGAAGAGGGACAUCCUGGAGGCGUCCCCAUACCUGCAGGAUGACUGCCUCUUGAUUCAGUGCGACUUGACCGUUCUCCUCAAGGAAAUACCAACCGUGGCGACCGCCACCAAGACGCCGGAGAUCGAGGUGCCGCCGUCUGACUUGUUGAAGAAUCUGGCAAAACUGCUAGAGGGGAACAAAGGAUCCGAUGUGAUG
rnacentral:rRNA from 1 species